UUUUUUAAUGCAAAAAAUGUAUGUUCUUGAUAAUUGAGUUGUAGCCAUGUUUGGAGCUUGCAUUUUGUAUUAUUCUAAAUGUUUGUAAUUGAUAUGUACGAAAAUAUUAUUGUCCUUUUGCAAUAACAAAUAACAACGAAUAUGACUACAUGAACUACCGCAACAUAUUAUCAUUACAUAUGGUGAUUAUUUUUCUUUUUGAACUGUCAAGUUAAUUUAAACUUUUUACAUCUUAAUUUAGAUCGUAUAUUACUAAUUUUAUGCUUUAUUGUAGUCCAUGUAUGCUGAUAUACUUAUUCCAUGAUAAUUCUAUGUUUGUCCUUUUGUGUGAUGUAAAUUAAAUGUUGAAUGGCGGUUCAUGCAGGGGAAGAACAUAUCAAUAUUCGCAUAUUCAUUCAAAAACAUGAAAAUUCUUAAUGGAGUACCCUCAUUUUUUAUUGAAUUCCUAAAAAAAAAUAUUUAUAAUGAAUUUUAAUAAUUUUUUCGGAUUUUUUUGAAGCUUUAUUCUGACCGAUUCACCCGAUUCCGAUCCGGAUCGCCGAUUCGCCGAUCCGGAUCGCCGAUUCGCCGAUCCGGAUCGGUUUUUGAAAAGCCCGAUCCGGGUCACCGAUCCGGUUUUUAAACCAUUGGUUC
rnacentral:lncRNA from 1 species